GAGACUGCAACAAUUUACUGAUAGUUUACUGCCUGCUACUGGAAAUAUGAUCACUGCUAAUGAAAGCCUUAAACAGAUCAACCAUCUCAGACACUACCUGUGUCAGGUUCUAACUUCCUGUCUGUGUCUACUACUCUGUCUUCAUGUUUUUGUUUUGUUUACAUUAACUUGUUACACAUUAAGCUGCUGUGUCCCAGAUGUGAUAAGACAGUCUGGGCGUCACAGCUGCAGAGUGUGAACAUGGGAUUCAACAGCACGUUCUUUCUUUCGUCAUUUUUCAUCAUCUUUUUAGGCUCAUCUGUCUACAUAUCAGCACGACCGGCGUCUAACAACACUGGCAACCACGGGAACAUUUCCCUCAGCUGCGAUGAGGGGAAGGUAGGCGCUGAGAAUGAGUACAAUGUUAAAGAUGAUAUUGGAGAAAAUGUCUCUCUGGGAGACAUCAGUAACAUUCAUGUUUCUGGAACAAACGAAGGAUGCAUUGGAGGAAGGAACGAGUACACUGUGAAAGGAAAAAUUCCAGCCAAGUCAAACAUUGGCAACGUCAAUAAUGUGACCGUUGGUAACAACUCGGGAUCAAUUGGUUCGGGGAACCGCAUUAACAUUAACUGAGGAAAUCAAUUGGCUAAAAAUGUUAAAUUCAUACUUUGACAUCAGCAAAGAUCAUUGAGAUUCUUCAGCUUCAUUAUUAAAUAAAAAUAAAAAUAUAGUCAGUAUGCUGCAUGUCUUUGUAUUGUUUCAUUUCACUGUGAAAGGCCCUAUUUGGAGCCAGUCCAUUCUGGGCUACUGUAGAAAACUAGCAGUUCAACAUGGCGGCUCUAUGUAAGGCAACCUGCAAAAAAACAGCUCACAACAUUCAGCUGAUUAUACACUAAUGAAAACAUUAGUGUUAGAAUACCUCUGAAUUACUGCCCGUAUCUUUGUGUUUUACAGUGAUUUAAACAGAAUGAAAUUAACAAUAAAGAGAAAGGAAAUGAGGUAUCAGGCUAGUGAACUGGUGUAUUAUGACAGAGCAGCAGCAAGGUGGGGCUAUAUCCAAACCUAUACUGUAUGGACAGAGCUGUGAUUGAUGCUCUGAUUAUUAAUCUCUUAUUAAGUUAAACAUUUCAAAAAGAAGCUUGACAGGUGAAUCACACAAAAGAAAAAGAAAUAAAAAGACAACAUAUUCGUGGCUUUAAUAAGAUCAUUUAGAUAAGCUGCUUGUGCAAAGUUAGACACUUGAAAUAUGGAAAGAAAUAUUUUAAACUGAAGGAAAUUAAACUUUAAGAUAGCCAACUUUAAGAACAUGGCGUUGUCUUGCUCUGUUACAUUAUGUUACCUUCACAAAAACGCACACUAAUAACAUCAUUUACUCUCGGAGAAGUUUGGACAACAGCGAAACAAAAGGAACAAGAAACAGCAGACAAGAGCAGAGAACCACAGUAAGAAAACCUGCGCUAACAGUGACCUCAACAAAUGUCACCUUAAUAUGUAGCCUGAAUACUAAAUCAUAAAGCCAGCUGUACAUGUUUGGUUUGGUCUGUUUAUGUAAAGUCCCUCUAAAAUCCUCAUCCUUCUGAUUUAUGAGUCAGUGUCAGUUCCCAGUCACCACAUUGCUGAGUCAGACGUUUUAGAUCAUGACUGCAACAAACUCAAACUGAAAGUGAAGCUUCAGGUCAGACAGUCGCUAAAACAGGUUCAGUUUAAUGUCAGAACUCAACAUCGUGACUUGUGGUGGUUUAAUGGUUUCAGUAUGAAAAAGAAGUCUGAUAUUGAAAGUAAUUCAAAAAUAAAUAUGACUGUUAGAACCGUUUGAAAUGUUACACGCUCAAUAAAUACCAGGCUCUGCUAUAAAAUAUCACUUAAACCAGACGAUUUAUUAAAAAAAGAUAAAAAGAUACAGAGAGCACUGUAGUCCAACAAAUAACAUGACACAGCAAGUAUUGUAGUUGUAAAGAGAUGUUACUAUUUGUGUUUGAAUCUGUGAUCAAGCACAAGGAAAAUACUUAAACGCACAUCACACAAACGUUAAGUAGAUCUUAACACAACCAGAAGCUGUGAUUGAUGAAGCUAUCUGUAAAUGUUAUAUAACCUGCUUAAUGUUUCAAAUAACCCACACUGUAAGGACACCUUACUCCUUCAACAGAGGAGAGGGGAGGAAAUGUAAAAUACACUUGUUUAGUAGUAGAUGUUUUAGGAGGCAGGGGGCUCACCAGUACUAUAACAUAGACACGUGAAAAUUACAACAAAAAGCUCUUCAGACUUUGUGGGGAACAAAAGAGUUUUGCUGAAGAAACAAAACAACUGUUUACCAUAUCUAGAAAGUUCCUCCUCCUAAACCCCCAAAGACAUGAGCACGCAUGUUCAGGACCCUUAUAAAAGCAGAGUCUCUCCUCAUUUCAAGAAGCUCACCUCAUAACACAGGACAAACAACUGAAACCAGUGUGAAUCUGUGUCUAGAUUUCAGCAGGAACAAUGUCGAAUGUUGCAAACACAGAGGACGUUCGCAUUAGUGACAACCAAGGGAAGGUUGGCGCUAACAAUGCCAUUGAUGUUAAAGGAGGUCUUGGAAAAAAUACUGAACUGAGCAACACCACCGGCAUCACCGUUAUAGGAAAAAAUACAGACACAGCACGUAUUGGAGCAGACAACAGCUAUGACCUUAAAGGAGGAGUGGGAGAUGGUUCCAGGAUUGGCAACACUGCUGGUGUUACAGUUGGUAAUAACUCAGGAGCCAUUGGUGCAGGAAAUCGCGUUAACAUCAGCUGAGGAAAUGGCCCUCCAACAGAUGGACAACUCUUCUAAAAAUGAUGUACAAUUUGUGAUAUAAUUGAAAUGUCUUAGACGUAGUAGUAGUAAGUAUUAAAAAAAUGUUAAAUUCAUGAUUUCAAAUGUCAUUAAUGAGAUGAAUGUCAAAUAAGUACAAAUAAAAACAAAGUCCAUCUA